AAUCAACGCUGGCGGCGUGCCUAACACAUACAAGUCGAACGCGAGAGGGCUUCGGCCCCGAUUGAGUGGCGAACGGGUGAGUAACGCGUGGGUGACCUACCUUCGAGUGGGGGAUAACGUCCCGAAAGGGACGCUAAUACCGCAUAACAUCCUGCUUUUGAAUGGGUGGAGAUCAAAGCCGGGGAUCGCAAGACCUGGCGCUUGAUGAGGGGGCCCGCGUCUGAUUAGCUAGUUGGGAGGUAACGGCCCACCAAGGCAACGAUCAGUAUCCGGCCUGAGAGGGGCGGACGGACACACUGGGACUGGGACACGGCCCAGACUCCUACGGGAGGCAGCAGUGGGGAAUUGCUCGCAAUGGGCGCAAGCCUGACGACGCAACGCCGCGUGGAGGAUGAAGGUCUUCGGAUUGUAAACUCCUGUUGCCCGGGACGAAUGGCUCCGACCUAACACGUCGGAGUGUGACGGUACCGGGUGAGG
rnacentral:rRNA from 1 species